CCUACGAGUGGCUGCAGUCGAGAAUCAUUCACAAUGAGGGAAACCCUGAUGGUGCGACGCCGCGUGGGCGAAUGAAGGUCUUCGGUUUGUAAACCCCUGUCAUGUGGGAGCAAAUUAAAAAGAUAGUAUCACAAGAGGCAGAGACGGCUAACCCUGUGCCAGCAGCCGCGGUAAUACAGAGGUCUCAAGCGUUGUUAGGAAUCACUGGGCGUAAAGGGUGUGUUGGCUGUUUCGUAAGUAGUGUGGGAAAGGCCCGGGGUCAACCCGCGGACGGCUCAUGAUACUGGGAGACUAGAGUAAUAGAGGGGGAAGCGGAAUUCCAGGUGAAGCAGUGAAAUGCGUAGAUAUCGGGAGGAACAC
rnacentral:rRNA from 1 species